UACGUAGGGUGCGAGCGUUGUCCGGAAUUAUUGGGCGUAAAGAGCUCGUAGGCGGUGUGUCGCGUCGGCCGUGAAAACCUGGGGCUCAACUCUGGGCGUGCGGUCGAUACGGGCAUCACUUGAGUUCGGCAGGGGAGACUGGAAUUCCUGGUGUAGCGGUGAAAUGCGCAGAUAUCAGGAGGAACACCGGUGGCGAAGGCGGGUCUCUGGGCAGUAACUGACGCUGAGGAGCGAAGCGUGGGGAGCGAACAGGA
rnacentral:rRNA from 1 species